UUGAACCCGGGAGGUGGAGGUUGCAGUGAGCCGAGAUGGCACCAUUGCACUCCGGCCUGGGCCACAAGAACGAAACUCCAUCUCAAAAAAAAAAAAAAAAGAAAAAAAAAAACAAAAGACAAAAAAAAAAUAAGCGUAACUUCCCUCAAAGCAACAACCCCCCCCCCCCUUUUCAUAUUCUUGCCUGGAAGAAAGGCCUU
rnacentral:lncRNA from 1 species